GGAUGCAGCCAUAUACUAAAGUUGGAACAAUACAGAGAAGAUGAGCAUAGCCCCUGUGCAAGGAUGACACGCAAACUCUUGAAGCAUUCCAUAUUAAA
rnacentral:snRNA from 1 species